AUGAGUCGCCGGAGCCCCUAUGGUCGCUGUCCCCAAGAUCGGCCGCCGCCUCCCUGCUUUCUGUUGCCGCGCGACACCACAGCCCUGGCCUUCCCCGAUGUCCGCAUAUGGCCGGGUUGGAUGCGGUGCUCCGCGCUGAGGCCGCCGGUGCCAGAGCCUCUGCCGGAGAUGGUCGGAGUCGCCCGGGCCGUCACCGGAGCGCCCUACCUCACCUCUACCUCUGUUCACCGAUGUGAGGAAGAAGAAGGAAAGAGGAGGAGAGAGACAAAAGGCACGGGCCCCACCAGUCAGUGUCCCAGAAGCCCGGCCCGGCCACUGCCUAGCUGGAUAAGUGGAAGCACAUUCGCGCGGGUGUGUUUUCCCAUUCGGAAGACGGAUAUUGGUGCGGCUUAG
rnacentral:rRNA from 1 species